rnacentral:rRNA from 1 species
UACGUAGGGAGCAAGCGUUGUCCGGAAUCAUUGGGCGUAAAGCGCGCGUAGGCGGCUCGAUCAGUCUGUUGUGAAAGUCAAAGGCUCAACCUUUGAAUGCCGAUGGAUACUGUCGAGCUAGAGUCCGGAAGAGGCGAGUGGAAUUCCUGGUGUAGCGGUGGAAUGCGCAGAUAUCAGGAGGAACACCAACGGCGAAGGCAGCUCGCUGGGACGGUACUGACGCUAAGGCGCGAAAAGCGUGGGGAGCGAACAGG